rnacentral:rRNA from 1 species
GAUGAACGCUGGCGGCGUGCCUAAUACAUGCAAGUCGAGCGAACAGACGAGGAGCUUGCUCCUCUGACGUUAGCGGCGGACGGGUGAGUAACACGUGGAUAACCUACCUAUAAGACUGGGAUAACUUCGGGAAACCGGAGCUAAUACCGGAUAAUAUAUUGAACCGCAUGGUUCAAUAGUGAAAGACGGUUUUGCUGUCACUUAUAGAUGGAUCCGCGCCGCAUUAGCUAGUUGGUAAGGUAACGGCUUACCAAGGCAACGAUGCGUAGCCGACCUGAGAGGGUGAUCGGCCACCCUGGAACUGAGACACGGUCCAGACUCCUACGGGAGGCAGCAGUAGGGAAUCUUCCGCAAUGGGCGAAAGCCUGACGGAGCAACGCCGCGUGAGUGAUGAAGGUCUUCGGAUCGUAAAACUCUGUUAUUAGUGAAGAACAAAUGUGUAAGUAACUAUGCACGUCUUGACGGUACCUAAUCAGAAAGCCACGGCUAACUACGUG